UAGUUCUAUCCUCAUCUUGAUUUAAAUGUUCUCGUUGCCAUAAAUGAUAAACAGCAUGCAGGUAUGUUAGUUCUAUCCUCAUCUUGAUUUAAAUGUUCUCGUUGCCAUAAAUGAUAAACAGCAUGCAGGUAUGUUAGUUCUAUCCUCAUCUUGAUUUAAAUGUUCUCGUUACCAUAAAUGAUAAACAGCAUGCAGGUAUGUUAGUUCUAUCCUCAUCUUGAUUUAAAUGUUCUCGUUGCCAUAAAUGAUAAACAGCAUGCAGGUAUGUUAGUUCUAUCCUCAUCUUGAUUUAAAUGUUCUCGUUGCCAUAAAUGAUAAACAGCAUGCAGGUAUGUUAGUUCUAUCCUCAUCUUGAUUUAAAUGUUCUCGUUGCCAUAAAUGAUAAACAGCAUGCAGGUAUGUUAGUUCUAUCCUCAUCUUGAUUUAAAUGUUCUCGUUGCCAUAAAUGAUAAACAGCAUGCAGGUAUGUUAGUUCUAUCCUCAUCUUGAUAUAAAUGUUCUCGUUGCCAUAAAUGAUAAACAGCAUGCAGGUAUGUUAGUUCUAUCCUCAUCUUGAUUUAAAUGUUCUCGUUGCCAUAAAUGAUAAACAGCAUGCAGGUAUGUUAGUUCUAUCCUCAUCUUGAUUUAAAUGUUCUCGUUGCCAUAAAUGAUAAACAGCAUGCAGGUAUGUUAGUUCUAUCCUCAUCUUGAUUUAAAUGUUCUCGUUGCCAUAAAUGAUAAACAGCAUGCAGGUAUGUUAGUUCUAUCCUCAUCUUGAUUUAAAUGUUCUCGUUGCCAUAAAUGAUAAACAGCAUGCAGGUAUGUUAGUUCUAUCCUCAUCUUGAUUUAAAUGUUCUCGUUGCCAUAAAUGAUAAACAGCAUGCAGGUAUGUUAGUUCUAUCCUCAUCUUGAUUUAAAUGUUCUCGUUGCCAUAAAUGAUAAACAGCAUGCAGGUAUGUUAGUUCUAUCCUCAUCUUGAUUUAAAUGUUCUCGUUGCCAUAAAUGAUAAACAGCAUGCAGGUAUGUUAGUUCUAUCCUCAUCUUGAUUUAAAUGUUCUCGUUGCCAUAAAUGAUAAACAGCAUGCAGGUAUGUUAGUUCUAUCCUCAUCUUGAUUUAAAUGUUCUCGUUGCCAUAAAUGAUAAACAGCAUGCAGGUAUGUUAGUUCUAUCCUCAUCUUGAUUUAAAUGUUCUCGUUGCCAUAAAUGAUAAACAGCAUGCAGGUAUGUUAGUUCUAUCCUCAUCUUGAUUUAAAUGUUCUCGUUGCCAUAAAUGAUAAACAGCAUGCAGGUAUGUUAGUUCUAUCCUCAUCUUGAUUUAAAUGUUCUCGUUGCCAUAAAUGAUAAACAGCAUGCAGGUAUGUUAGUUCUAUCCUCAUCUUGAUUUAAAUGUUCUCGUUGCCAUAAAUGAUAAACAGCAUGCAGGUAUGUUAGUUCUAUCCUCAUCUUGAUUUAAAUGUUCUCGUUGCCAUAAAUGAUAAACAGCAUGCAGGUAUGUUAGUUCUAUCCUCAUCUUGAUUUAAAUGUUCUCGUUGCCAUAAAUGAUAAACAGCAUGCAGGUAUGUUAGUUCUAUCCUCAUCUUGAUUUAAAUGUUCUCGUUGCCAUAAAUGAUAAACAGCAUGCAGGUAUGUUAGUUCUAUCCUCAUCUUGAUUUAAAUGUUCUCGUUGCCAUAAAUGAUAAACAGCAUGCAGGUAUGUUAGUUCUAUCCUCAUCUUGAUUUAAAUGUUCUCGUUGCCAUAAAUGAUAAACAGCAUGCAGGUAUGUUAGUUCUAUCCUCAUCUUGAUUUAAAUGUUCUCGUUGCCAUAAAUGAUAAACAGCAUGCAGGUAUGUUAGUUCUAUCCUCAUCUUGAUUUAAAUGUUCUCGUUACCAUAAAUGAUAAACAGCAUGCAGGUAUGUUAGUUCUAUCCUCAUCUUGAUAUAAAUGUUCUCGUUGCCAUAAAUAAUAAACAGCAUGCAGGUAUGUU